AAUUCUGGCUCUGCUAUGCUAACUCUAUUGGCUACAUGCGAUGUUAUUGGAUCGACAGGUAUUAUUUUAUUGUGUUUUCUCGCAGAGUGCUUCAGGAGGAGGAGUGCUGGAUUGACUUAACUCAAAUACAAGGAAGAUGAGCAAGAAGAACCCACUUGUAUACUUGGACGUGUCUAUAGAUGGAGAUCCUAUUGAAAGAAUGGUUUUUGAGCUCUUCUCAGGUACUGUUCCUAAAACUGCUGAGAAUUUUCGGGCACUUUGUACUGGAGAAAAGGGGAAUGGUCAGAAGAAAACUGGAAGACCCUGCACUACAAGGGAUCCUUUUUCCAUCACAUAAUUAAAGGAUCUUUGGCUCAGGCAUAUGUCUAUUGGUGUUAUGUCAAACGGCUUGCGAAGUAGACAGCAACCAAGACUUGGAAUCCCAGAAAGAAGUGUCAUUCGUAAGGCUGGAAGCAUAUAUCUUCAUAAACAUGGAGAAGUUGACGGGUCAAAAGUACGCGUGCAGGUCGAUAUUGAAGAAAAAACUUGUGACGCAACCAACUCCUGGGGAUUAUGUAAUGCUUGCUUAUCACCAUUGAUGUGGGGAUUAACAACCAAAAACUAUUGCUUGAUGAGUUUUAUAUUGGUCUCAAACACAAGAAUGCCACUCGAAAGGAAUAUUAUGACUUACUUGAAGAGUUAUGUCUGCAGUCAAGCAAAGCUAUGGUCAAAAAGUGUUUGUGCAGUGUCUCUUAAAACUUAGAUUUACCCAAUAGCUCAUAAAUGUACCUAUCAGCCAAAUAUAAAACCACUCAGUUGGCGUUCAGUGAUGAUAUUUAUAUUGUUGAUUGAUGAUUUUCUA